rnacentral:rRNA from 1 species
UGAACGCUGGCGGCAGGCCUAACACAUGCAAGUCGAGCGGCAGCGGAAAGUAGCUUGCUACUUUGCCGGCGAGCGGCGGACGGGUGAGUAAUGUCUGGGAAACUGCCUGAUGGAGGGGGAUAACUACUGGAAACGGUAGCUAAUACCGCAUAACGUCGCAAGACCAAAGAGGGGGACCUUCGGGCCUCUUGCCAUCAGAUGUGCCCAGAUGGGAUUAGCUAGUAGGUGGGGUAACGGCUCACCUAGGCGACGAUCCCUAGCUGGUCUGAGAGGAUGACCAGCCACACUGGAACUGAGACACGGUCCAGACUCCUACGGGAGGCAGCAGUGGGGAAUAUUGCACAAUGGGCGCAAGCCUGAUGCAGCCAUGCCGCGUGUAUGAAGAAGGCCUUCGGGUUGUAAAGUACUUUCAGCGGGGAGGAAGGCGUUGAGGUUAAUAACCUCAGCGAUUGACGUUACCCGCAGAAGAAGCACCGGCUAACUCC